rnacentral:rRNA from 1 species
UACGUAGGGGGCAAGCGUUGUCCGGAUUUAUUGGGCGUAAAGAGCGUGUAGGCGGCUAGGUAGGUCCGUUGUGAAAACUCGAGGCUCAACCUCGAGACGUCGGCGGAAACCCUCUGGCUAGAGUCCGGAAGAGGAGAGUGGAAUUCCUGGUGUAGCGGUGAAAUGCGCAGAUAUCAGGAAGAACACCCGUGGCGAAGGCGGCUCUCUGGGACGGUAC